rnacentral:rRNA from 1 species
CCUACGGGUGGCAGCAGUGAGGAAUAUUGGUCAAUGGCCGAGAGGCUGAACCAGCCAAGUCGCGUGAGGGAAGAAUGUCCUUUGUAUUGUAAACUUCUUUUGUCAGGGAGCAAAGUCACCCACGUGUGGGCGUUGGAGUGUACCUGAAGAAAAAGCAUCGGCUAACUCCGUGCCAGCAGCCGCGGUAAUACGGAGGAUGCGAGCGUUAUCCGGAUUUAUUGGGUUUAAAGGGUGCGUAGGCGGGUGAUCAAGUCAGCGGUAAAAUGGUGGAGCUCAACUCCGGCCGGCCGUUGAAACUGUUGUUCUUGAGUGGGAGAGAAGUAUGCGGAAUGCGUGGUGUAGCGGUGAAAUGCAUAGAUAUCACGCAGAACUCCGAUUGCGAAGGCAGCAUACCGGCGCCCGACUGACGCUGAGGCACGAAAGCGUGGGGAUCGAACAGGAUUAGAUACCCCAGUAGUC